AUUGAACGCUGGCGGCAUGCUUUACACAUGCAAGUCGAACGGCAGCGCGGGCUUCGGCCUGGCGGCGAGUGGCGAACGGGUGAGUAAUGCAUCGGAACGUGCCCAGCAGUGGGGGAUAGCCCGGCGAAAGCCGGAUUAAUACCGCAUACGACCUGAGGGUGAAAGCGGGGGACCGAAAGGACUCGCGCUAUUGGAGCGGUCGAUGUCGGAUUGGAUAGUUGGUUGGGUAAAGGCUUACCAAGGCGACGAUCCGCAGCUGGACUGUGAGGGCGGCCGGCCACAUGAGAGCUGGACCACGGACCAGAGGCCUGAGGGAGGCACCAGAGGGGAACGGGAGACAGCAGUGGGAACUCUGGCACAGCGGGGGGGCGCGCGAUAAAGAAACCUUCGGUGUGGGAACCGGGUUUGUGCGGGAAGAAAUGCUCUGGGCUAAUACGAAGGGGGGGUGACGGUACCGGAAAAAGAAGCACCGGCUAACUACGUG
rnacentral:rRNA from 1 species